rnacentral:rRNA from 1 species
ACGAAGCCUUUCGGGGCUUAGUGGCAGAACGGGUGAGUAACGCGUGAGGAUCUACCCUUAGGAGCGGGACAACAGCUGGAAACGGUUGCUAAUACCGCAUAUGGCGGAAGCUGAAAGAUUUAUCGCCUGAGGAAGAACUCGCGUCUGAUUAGCUAGUUGGUGAGGUAAGAGCUUACCAAGGCGACGAUCAGUAGCUGGUCUGAGAGGAUGAUCAGCCACACUGGGACUGAGACACGGCCCAGACUCCUACGGGAGGCAGCAGUGGGGAAUUUUCCGCAAUGGGGGCAACCCUGACGGAGCAACGCCGCGUGGGGGAGGAAUGUCUGUGGAUUGUAAACCCCUUUUCUCAGGGAAGAAGUUCUGACGGUACCUGAGGAAUCAGCAUCGGCUAACUCCGUGCCAGCAGCCGCGGUAAGACGGAGGAUGCAAGCGUUAUCCGGAAUUAUUGGGCGUAAAGCGUCCGUAGGCGGUUAGACAAGUCUGCUGUCAAAGACUGCAGCUCAACUGUGGGCCGGCAGUGGAAACUGUUUAACUUGAGUAUGGUAGGGGUAGAGGGAAUUCCCAGUGUAGCGGUGAAAUGCGUAGAUAUUGGGAAGAACACCAGUGGCGAAGGCGCUCUACUGGGCCAUAACUGACGCUGAGGGACGAAAGCUAGGGGAGCGAAAGGGAUUAGAUACCCCUGCAGUCCUAGCUGUAAACGAUGGAUACUAGGUGUUGGACGUAUCGACCCGUUCAGUACCGCAGUUGACGCGAUAAGUAUCCCGCCUGGGGAGUACGCACGCAAGUGUGAAACUCAAAGGAAUUGACGGGGGCCCGCACAAGCGGUGGAGUAUGUGGUUUAAUUCGAUGCAAUGCGAAGAACCUUUACCAGGGUCUUGACAUCCCCCGGAAUCCUCGUGAAAGGGAGGA